UACGUAGGCGGCAAGCGUUGUCCGGAUUUACUGGGCGUAAAGAGCGCGCAGGCGGUCGUUCAAGUCGCGUGUGAAAGCCCCCGGCUCAACUGGGGAGGGUCACGCGAUACUGAUCGACUCGAAGGCAGGAGAGGGUAGUGGAAUUCCCGGUGUAGUGGUGAAAUGCGUAGAUAUCGGGAGGAACACCAGUGGCGAAGGCGACUACCUGGCCUGUUUCUUGACGCUGAGGCGCGAAAGCUAGGGGAGCAAACGGGG
rnacentral:rRNA from 1 species